rnacentral:rRNA from 1 species
AGUCGAACGAGAGAGAAGGAGCUUGCUUCUUCGAUCGAGUGGCGAACGGGUGAGUAACGCGUGAGGAACCUGCCUCAAAGAGGGGGACAACAGUUGGAAACGACUGCUAAUACCGCAUAAGCCCACGGGUCGGCAUCGACCAGAGGGAAAAGGAGUGAUCCGCUUUGAGAUGGCCUCGCGUCCGAUUAGCUAGUUGGUGAGGUAACGGCCCACCAAGGCGACGAUCGGUAGCCGGACUGAGAGGUUGAACGGCCACAUUGGGACUGAGACACGGCCCAGACUCCUACGGGAGGCAGCAGUGGGGAAUAUUGCACAAUGGGGGAAACCCUGAUGCAGCGACGCCGCGUGGAGGAAGAAGGUCUUCGGAUUGUAAACUCCUGUUGUUGGGGAAGAUAAUGACGGUACCCAACAAGGAAGUGACGGCUAACUACGUGCCAGCAGCCGCGGUAAAACGUAGGUCACAAGCGUUGUCCGGAAUUACUGGGUGUAAAGGGAGCGCAGGCGGGAAGACAAGUUGGAAGUGAAAUCCAUGGGCUCAACCCAUGAACUGCUUUCAAAACUGUUUUUCUUGAGUAGUGCAGAGGUAGGCGGAAUUCCCGGUGUAGCGGUGGAAUGCGUAGAUAUCGGGAGGAACACCAGUGGCGAAGGCGGCCUACUGGGCACCAACUGACGCUGAGGCUCGAAAGUGUGGGUAGCAAACAGGAUUAGAUACCCUGGUAGUCCACACCGUAAACGAUGAUUACUAGGUGUUGGAGGAUUGACCCCUUCAGUGCCGCAGUUAACACAAUAAGUAAUCCACCUGG